UCUAGUAUAGCAGUCAGGGCCACUAAUCACUAGACCAACAGGCAUUAAAACCCUUUUUUCUCACAAAAGUUUCCGAAAAUCUCAAGCCAUAAAUCAGAAACAACAAAAAAGACGUUUACAUCUUUAUCCUGAAUCACGGACCAAGCAUUUUCAGCGGAAAGUUAUCGAAAACCUGUAGCUUUUGUUUUCAGAGCAAAUCAAAAUGAACCUUAAGAACAAAAGAUUACAUCUCAAAUUCCCCUACAAAGAUCAAUUGUGUAGAGAAAAUUAUCAACACGAACUAAUUUAAAACGUAUUGCGUUAAAAAUAAGGUGUGAUUUUGAAUGGGCCGUGUAAACCAAGCUGAUAAGACACGACCAGUUUCGCUUGAGCCCCCUCUCCCCUUGCGGUGUAAACUAUUGACAUAUAUAUAAGGGGAGGGUCUCCUUUAGGUCAGAGUUCAAGUAUUUUUGGUCGUUGAAAUACAGAGUCGUACUAUCUGUAUUCUGUGCUCCGUCUACGAGCAGUCAGGCCGCGGGCGUCGCGGCGAUCGGACGUAUUUAGUUAGUAUUAAUUUUAGAAUAUUUUUUAUUAUUAAAUAUAUUUAUAUUUUUUUGCUUCUCUUAAAAAAUAAUGAAGAGUGCGUUCGAGUACACCAUCUAGAAUUACUUAACCAGCCACCAUGGGAGUAGCAUCAGACGGUUUCGCCAGCAGUUGGCGCGCGAAGAUCGCGGCCUGCCGGGAGUCGCGGAAGCUGGUUCUGGUCAUCGUAGCCAUCGCUCUACUCCUGGAUAACAUGCUGCUGACAACCGUUGUACCGAUCAUUCCGGAGUUUCUAUACGACAUCCGGCACCCGGACGCACCUCUCUCCGUGUCCUUGGAGGACAUCACGCCGCCACCACCAUCGCCGACGCCCUACUGCCCUUGCAUGCAAGUUAAUAACACUGGGAUAGUUCAGAAUGAGACACAUUUUAACCUAACGGCAGAACGGGAGAACCGUCACCAGGAACUCAUCCACGAGACUGUUGCCGUCGGCGUGAUGUUUGCCAGCAAGGCUCUGGUGCAACUCCUGGCUAAUCCCUUCGUAGGACCCCUGACGCACAAAAUCGGCUACAGCGUUCCCAUGUUCACUGGUUUCAUUCUAAUGUUCCUGUCAACUCUGAUCUUCGCUUUCGGCCGCUCCUACUCCGUGCUGUUCAUUGCCCGCGCACUCCAGGGUAUAGGAUCUUCCUGCUCGUCUGUGUCCGGGAUGGGCAUGCUGGCGGAGAGAUACCCUGACGAUAAGGAACGCGGCAAUGCUAUGGGUAUAGCUCUCGGAGGUCUUGCCCUGGGAGUGCUCAUCGGACCGCCUUUCGGAGGCCUCAUGUACGAAUUCGUCGGUAAAACAGCUCCGUUCCUCAUGCUAUCAGCAUUGGCUUUGGGUGACGGAUUACUACAGCUGAUGAUUCUCCAGCCGGGCGUGGUGCGUCAGGAGUCGGAGCCACCUUCUCUUAAAGCCCUGGUCUGCGAUCCCUACAUCUUGAUUGCAGCAGGAGCCAUAACCUUCGCUAACGUUGGCAUUGCGAUGCUGGAGCCGAGUCUACCUAUCUGGAUGGCUGACACCAUGGAAGCACGUCGCUGGCAGCAGGGUGUGGCGUUCUUACCCGCUAGCAUAUGCUACCUCAUCGGCACCAACCUUUUUGGUCCUCUCGGUCACAAAAUGGGUCGCUGGCUGGCGGCUUGCUCUGGACUCGUCAUCAUCGGACUCUGUCUUAUCCUGAUCCCAAUGGCGCGCAAACUGGAGCACCUGAUCAUUCCCAACGCUGGCCUUGGCUUCGCUAUCGGCAUGGUGGACUCCUCAAUGAUGCCAGAGCUUGGGUUCCUGGUCGACAUCAGACAUGCCGCCGUCUACGGAUCUGUUUAUGCUAUUGGCGACACUGCCUUCUGUCUUGGAUAUGCUGUCGGUCCGGCUCUCUCAGGUGCUCUAAUGAACAGCAUUGGAUUUGAGUGGAUGCUGGUCAUCAUAGCUGUGCUGAACUUCGCGUACGCUCCAUGCUUGUUCUUCUUGAGGUCUCCACCGGCGAGGGAUGAGAAACAGGUCCGCCGAAGCAUGCGUGAAUGGGUGCAACUUAAAACAUAUAAUGACAGCUCGUCGCCAAUUUUACAACAUGGCCGCUUUCAACCUCACGAUUGACAUUCAUAAUAUCAAUCAUUAAAGUUCUCAACAAGGCCUCUGCAUGUUGGACCUGUGUCCCCAUGUAACUUUAAAAAGAACCGGGUCUCUUCUCAUGAAGUUAUCCCGUGAAUGAAAAGAGAUCAUUAAUCUUUAAUGCUGAACAAGUUGUUUAGAAACACGGAAGUGACAAAUGUCGAUGAAUUUAACAAUUUUAGAGGUGGCAAUAGUUCAUAACGGUUUUAUUUCUAUAAUAAUUGGAGCUUAAUAAUUAGCGACAAAUCGUCUGUCCGUUACGUGAGUUACCAAAACGAGGAAGAGGAAUAAAGGCGCCAUUUUGAAGACGCC